rnacentral:rRNA from 1 species
UACGGGGGGGGCAAGCGUUGUUCGGAAUUACUGGGCGUAAAGGGCUCGUAGGCGGCCAACUAAGUCAGACGUGAAAUCCCUCAGCUUAACUGGGGAACUGCGUCUGAUACUGGAUGGCUUGGAUUUGGGAGAGGGAUGCGGAAUUCCAGGUGUAGCGGUGAAAUGCGUAGAUAUCUGGAGGAACACCGGUGGCGAAGGCGGCAUCCUGGACCAAUAUUGACGCUCAUGUGCGAAAGCGUGGGGAGCAAACAGG